AAAUUUUAGUCUUUUUUCCCCCUCUACAAGUGAGUAUUUUAAGAGUAAUAGGAUCCUGUGCAAAAACAUCAGUCAGAGCAAUGUUGAAAAUGUAAAAAGUAGGGGAGACUGGGGUCAGUCGUGACAUAAAUCUCUCCAGAUUCAGUAACUACUUCUAUUGGUCCUUGCCAGUGGAAGUACUUCACUGAUUAAAGGUAAGGAUGCAUCUAUAAACUUAAUAAAAAUACAAUUCAUAAUGCUGAGUUCAUACUGCAGAGAGCUUUUCUUCUUUGGGGGUUUGAGUAGCUGUUUAUGUUAAAGCUUAUUAGGAGAUAUUGCCUUACAAAGCUGUUAUCUGUGGAGCUUUUCAUUUGCCUUUUUCAUUCAGUGACAUUUAUCUCACUUCCUUUAGAUGGUAAAGUCAUGCAAGAGCAGGAUCAGAAUGAUGAACAGUAAAAUAAAGCUGGAUGUAGAGGUGCCCCCCAUGAGGCAUAACCUCUUAAAUUGUUAUAAAGCUGUCUUAUGCCUCUUUGAUUCCCUCCCUGGAAAGCAAACCAGUUUAUAAAGGGAUAUUCCAGCCUAAAAUUAAUUUAGGUUCAAACAUACCGUAAAACCCAGUUAGACACCCCCUCAAGAGAUGAAUAUUGACGACCACUUGCUUCUCUAGUUAGACCAGCUUUAGUAACGACCGCACAAUAGCAAUACACAGCGGUCUGGGGAGACAUAAACAAACCUCAACCAAAACGCCUCUAUAUGGUCACAAAUAAUGCUCAGAACAGCACCUAACUUCAUCAACAGUACAUAUAGGGUCCCAGCCACAGCACUAGCCAUCAAACAUCUUAACUUUGCAUGAUUUCUUUAGCAAAGAGACUAAACACAACUCACCCACUCUCUUCCAGUGGCCUUUGUUUGUAGUGAGACCUCAGGCCAGUCCAAGGAAAAACAUUUAUUAUCAUUUCUUCUCGAAAAUGCAAUCAGUCCAAGACGCUAAAGCAGAAGAACUACCACGUCUGCAGUGCAAAAUGAUUAAUAUGAUGAUUAUUACUUCAAGGAAAUGAUGAAGAAAUGAUCAUAAAUGUUCUUCCUUGAGCUGCGUCGUCCCGCUGUAGUCCGUAAUGGACUGGCUACAAGGUCUGGACUGAGGUCUCGCUACAAGCAAGUGGCUGCUGGAAGAGAGUAGGUGAGUUGUGUUUAGUCUCUUUGCUAAAGAAAUCAGGCAAAGCUAAAAAGAUGUUUGGUGGCUAAUGCUGUGGCUGGGACCCUAUAUGUACUGUUGAUGAAGUUAGGUGCUGUUCUGAGCAUUAUUUGUGGCUAUAGAGUGGCGUUUUGGUUGAGGUUUGUUUAUGGCUCCUCAGACCGCUGUGUAUAGCUAUCGUGAGGUUGUUACUAAAGUUGGUAUAACUUGAGAAGCAAGCGGUCGGCAACAUUCAUCUCUUAAGGGGCUGUCUUACUCGGUGUUACAGUGUGUUUGACCCUAAAUGAAUUUGACCCCGCAAUAUUCCCUUUAAUUGUCUUUCAAGCUACCCUUAUAUUACCAAGCGGAUGUGACCUAUUCUUUUCAUUUUUAAAAUAUGACCUUUUUUUCUACAGAUUGUUUAAAGGAAAUCGCUAAAAGGUGAAGAAAGGUUUGGAUUAAACAGGCUGUAAAAGCUGCAACAAAAGCCUUGGUGGGCUAAUCCAAAGUUUCUGACUAUAUUAAUGAAUUAGACUCGACAGAUAGAAAAAAAAUUAACACUGCUCUCUCAAAAGCCACCAGACUCUGAUCAGCAAAAAGACCACAGAUCUACUGCUUGCUAGCAUGGUUUGUACAUUUAUAUAAAAAUGUUUAAAUUCCUGUCUCAUCGUAAAAAAGAAGUUACAUGACUUUCCUGUUAAUUUUGGCUAAGACUCUCAUAGUAAGAGACAUUCUUUAUGUGUAAAUCUGCUCUGCAGCAAACCUGGACGAGAUUCUGGGGAUAGUGUGGAGCCAACAGCAGAGAAGACAAAACCAUAAACAACAAGAAGGUAAUAAACUGAGUGAAGGAUUGUAAAUAGCCACAGAUAUGAGUGUAAGAGAAAUUCUGUGCUCAUUUAGACAGCAUUGUUAUGACUCUAUAAUUGGAUUUUCUUAAUGAUCCAUAUCUGUCAUGCAUAUUGAAGUAGAGCAGUGCUCGGAUCAUAUGUGCCGUGUUGUAAUGAGGGCAUGUAUUUCACGCACAGAGGUAAUCCAUUAUGCCCUCAGAGCGGAGUAGCUCUCAGACCAGCUGCUGUUCAAUGUGAAGGAGUCAGAGUGAUUAAUGAUUGUUUGAUGAAUGGCUAAAUCUUUAAUGUACAGCAGACUAUUUUCAGAGUCCCACUGACACACUAUAAACUCGAGUCUGUGUGCCGGGGAAGUGAAGCAGAGGAGUAAUGAAGUUACAGUGCUUUAAUAUGAUAAUUUACUUAAAGUAUCUGUUCGUGCAUGAGUUUUUAUGUUUCUUCCAACUUCCACUUUUACUCCACUGCACCUCCUGAAUUAAUUAUAUGAAUACUUUUACUCCUAUUACCAGCAUAAUACUCAUUAUUUCUUCAGGAGAAAGUGGUGGUCUAAUGAAGGUUAUUUUGUUGCCUUUACUGAAUAUACCAGUUUCAGCAGGUAGAGGAUCGCUUCGCUGCUUUUUGUGGAUGAUGUGGUUCUUCUAGCUUCGUCGAGCAGUGACCUUCAGCUCAUGCUGGGGCAGUUUGCGG